AUAGCGUAUAUUAAAGUUGUUGAGGUUAAAAAGCUCGUAGUUGAACCUUGGGCCCAGCCGGCCGGUCCGCCUCACCGCGUGCACUGGCUCGGUUGGGCCUUUCUUUCUGAAGAACCCCAUGCCCUUCACUGGGUGUGGUGGGGAACCAGGACUUUUACCGUGAACAAAUUAGAUCGCUUAAAGAAGGCCUAUGCUCGAAUAUAUUAGCAUGGAAUAAUACAAUAGGACGUGUGGUUCUAUUUUGUUGGUUUCUAGGACUGCCGUAAUGAUUAAUAGGGACAGUCGGGGGCAUCAGUAUUCAAUUGUCAGAGGUGAAAUUCUUGGAUUUAUUGAAGACUAACUACUG
rnacentral:rRNA from 1 species